GUAGACAUAAUUUAAUAAAAAUAUUAGAUUGUGAUUCUGAAAAUAGGGGUUAAACCCCCCUUGUCCACC
rnacentral:tRNA from 1 species